GACACUGAGGCUAGAAAGCGUGGGUAGCAAAACAGGAUUUAGAUACCCUGGUAGUCCACGCCGUAAACGAUGUCUACUAGUCGUUGGGUCCCUUGAGGACUUAGUGACGCAGCUAACGCAAUAAGUAGACCGCCUGGGGAGUACGGCCGCAAGGUUAAAACUCAAAUGAAUUGACGGGGGCCCGCACAAGCGGUGGAGCAUGUGGUUUAAUUCGAUGCAACGCGAAGAACCUUACCUGGUCUUGACAUACACAGAAUCUUGUAGAGAUACGAGAGUGCCUUCGGGAAUUGUGAUACAGGUGCUGCAUGGCUGUCGUCAGCUCGUGUCGUGAGAUGUUGGGUUAAGUCCCGCAACGAGCGCAACCCUUGUCCUUAGUUACCAGCACUUCGGGUGGGAACUCUAAGGAUACUGCCAGUGACAAACUGGAGGAAGGCGGGGACGACGUCAAGUCAUCAUGGCCCUUACGACCAGGGCCACACACGUGCUACAAUGGUAGGUACAGAGGGCAGCUACACAGCGAUGUGAUGCGAAUCUCAAAAAGCCUAUCGUAGUCCAGAUUGGAGUCUGCAACUCGACUCCAUGAAGUAGGAAUCGCUAGUAAUCGCGGAUCAGAAUGCCGCGGUGAAUACGUUCCCGGGCCUUGUACACACCGCCCGUCACACCAUGGGAGUUGAUUACACCAGAAGUGGUUAGCC
rnacentral:rRNA from 1 species